GACGAACGCUGGCGGCGUGCUUAACACAUGCAAGUCGUACGGUAAGGCCCUUUCGUGGGUACACGAGUGUCGAACGGGUGCGUAACACGUGCGUAACCUUCCCACAACUUUGGGAUAACGCUAGGUUACUGGUUCUAAUACUGGUUAUGUGCUCCUUCUUCAUGGUGGGGGUUGGAAAGCUCCGGGGGUUUUGGGUGGGCUUGCUGCCUAUCUGCUUGUUGUUGGGGUUGUGGCCUACCAAGGCGGCGUCGGGUAGCCGGCCUGAGUGGGUGACCGGCCACAGUGGGACUGAGAGACGGCCCAGACGCGGACGGGAGGCAGAGGUGGGGAAGAAUGAAGAAUGGGCGCAAGGCGGAUGAAGAAAGGCCGCGGGCGGGAAGACGGGCUUAGGGUUGAAAAACGAAUUCAGCAGGGACGAAGCAUUUUGUGACGGUACCUGCAGAAGAAGCACCGGCUAACUACGUG
rnacentral:rRNA from 1 species